rnacentral:sRNA from 1 species
AAAAACUGCCUUGGCUAAAAAGCAAGGUAGUUCAGGGCUCAGCAGCUUUGAGGCGAACAUGCUCAGAAUGAGCUCUGGAGACUUCAGUGAGAGUCUCGCCUGGUGAAGAGGAGAAGGAUUCAAAAUGGAAGCAGAGAUUCCAGCCUUUGUCCUGGAUUUUAUUACAUUAUUGACCCAAUGGAGGAACCCGUGCUUUUAGCAAGGGUAGUUUUAAGUGCCUGUUAAAGGAGAGAGGGCCGACUUGGUGGUGCGUAUCUUUAAUUCUGGCACUUGGGAGGCAGAAGCAGAGGGAUUUCAUCUAACAGUAGGAGUGCUGAGUCAGAUGUCAACAUUUCAAGCCACAUGACCUCCUUUUCCACAAAAGGAGAGGGGGAUGGGUAUCAAAGUGACCAUUUGGGGAAGGCAGAAAUUCAGCAUUUCAGCCCAUCUUCAAGGUAUUCAUGAGAUUUUGGGUUGGCUGGGAGGAAGGAUAGAAUAUGUAGAAGAAAGCAGUGUGGGCCAAAUUGGUCCAUUAACCAUUAUCUUGGUUUAGAUUCUGUAAGAAGGCCCAAAGGACAAAUUCCAGCUCUACUGCCUGGCCAUGAAGGACACCUCCUCUCUAACACCUGACCCCCUCUCUACCACCUGGAUCCACAGAGAUUCUGACUCCUGCUCUAGGAGGACCUUUCAUAUGUGGCCUGGCUGCAAGACCUGCCGUUCUUAGAAUCAAGGGCACUGCAGGUCUCUGACAAUGAGCAGAGAUGUGCAAGAUACCUUUGUAGGACUCCGUAAUAGCUACAGGAAGACACCUCACCAUGCUUAUCUUGGCUCCUUCAGCCUUGGGACUUACCAAAUGCUGUAUAGAGAUAUGGGAAUGUUUACCUCUAAUGGGAGAGACAUAUCACCCAUUUUAAUGUGUGCAAAGAGAAGCUGAAUGUCCCAGAGGGAACACAUUUGGGUAUGUAUACAUCUGAGGUAUGCAUGAGGCCGGAAUUCAACCAUGGAUAUUGGUCUUCCUGGAGCCAAGCAUUUUAUUUUGAAACAGGUUCUCAGGUUAGUCUGAACUGGUUAAGCAGUUAAUCUAGUUGGUCUGCAAGAACGACCCAUCAUCUUCCUGUAUCUGCAUCCUGAGGAUUGGGAUUACAGGCAUGUGUUAGCACUGUGCCCUGCUUUUUAUGGGAUGCUGGGGGUUGAAAUCCUCUUCAGAAGUUCAUGGCAAACACUUUACUGACUGAAUUCUCCCUCCAGCCCUGUGAUGUAAUUUUUAAGAAAAAAUGACAGCAGAUCUACUGGAGUAACUAGUGCCGCAAGUUGUUCUGAAGUUCACUUCAGUGUUGCUUUAAGAUUCGGCAGAGGUGUGCCUUACUUAACAGCCACGCUCUUGACACUUUCUGUGCUUAGAUCUCCAAGCCUUGAGCGCCCUUUUAUAAUUCCCUGUUGGAGAUUGGUUCUGAUGCUUUGAUUCAAUCAGAAAUUUGCAUAUCCAAAGGCUAAAGGAUGGCCCUGGCUGGGUGGAGAGAGAAGGGAGGAUGUAGAAGCUUCAGAAGAUAAAGCCAACGAGCCACAUGAGAUUUUGGCAGUAAGUCUGUCUGUACUGACAAGAACAUUCAAGAUGCUAGAAAGACCACAGUGACAAAGCAAAGUGAAGACAACUGCAUCACAAUGAAAUCCACUACUCUGUCUAGAGUGAACAAGUUAAACAGUCGGAGGGACAGCCCUGAGUGCCAGCGUCAAAGACUCGCACCAACCAGUGUGGAUAUUAGCAGAGACUGAGUGACCCCAACACUUCAUGUGGUAAAAGUGCUGUAGAAAGUUAAAUACUUCCUUGGAAAAAGUGGAGAAGAAGAUACUUUAACAGCACAAUGCAGUCAAAUGUCUGCUGAGAUAGAUACUGGCAUGGAAGAAGGGCCAGCAGCACAGCCCCAGGACAGCAGUAGCACCCACAAUCAGUAGAAGCACCGUGAGUGUGAGUAAACAUCUGCACGGGUGGAUCCCCAUGCUGAGGCCCGGAAUCCCAGAAGACGACAACCAUUCACGGAUGUUGGGCUAAGAUUAGGCUUCCCCUCUCCUCCUCCUUCUCUAAGAUUAGGCUUCCCCUCUCCUCCUCCUUCUCCUUCUCCCUCUUAUUCUUUACAAACAUUCAAGUAAAACACUCAUGCAUAUGAAAUGCUAAGUAGUCUAAAUAAAACUUUUCUUCCAUGUUUUAAUGAUA